rnacentral:rRNA from 1 species
GCGGACGGGUGAGUAACACGUGGAUAACCUACCUAUAAGACUGGGAUAACUUCGGGAAACCGGAGCUAAUACCGGAUAAUAUUUUGAACCGCAUGGUUCAAAAGUGAAAGACGGUCUUGCUGUCACUUAUAGAUGGAUCCGCGCUGCAUUAGCUAGUUGGUAAGGUAACGGCUUACCAAGGCAACGAUGCAUAGCCGACCUGAGAGGGUGAUCGGCCACACUGGAACUGAGACACGGUCCAGACUCCUACGGGAGGCAGCAGUAGGGAAUCUUCCGCAAUGGGCGAAAGCCUGACGGAGCAACGCCGCGUGAGUGAUGAAGGUCUUCGGAUCGUAAAACUCUGUUAUUAGGGAAGAACAUAUGUGUAAGUAACUGUGCACAUCUUGACGGUACCUAAUCAGAAAGCCACGGCUAACUACGUGCCAGCAGCCGCGGUAAUACGUAGGUGGCAAGCGUUAUCCGGAAUUAUUGGGCGUAAAGCGCGCGUAGGCGGUUUUUUAAGUCUGAUGUGAAAGCCCACGGCUCAACCGUGGAGGGUCAUUGGAAACUGGAAAACUUGAGUGCAGAAGAGGAAAGUGGAAUUCCAUGUGUAGCGGUGAAAUGCGCAGAGAUAUGGAGGAACACCAGUGGCGAAGGCGACUUUCUGGUCUGUAACUGACGCUGAUGUGCGAAAGCGUGGGGAUCAAACAGGAUUAGAUACCCUGGUAGUCCACGCCGUAAACGAUGAGUGCUAAGUGUUAGGGGGUUUCCGCCCCUUAGUGCUGCAGCUAACGCAUUAAGCACUCCGCCUGGGGAGUACGACCGCAAGGUUGAAACUCAAAGGAAUUGACGGGGACCCGCACAAGCGGUGGAGCAUGUGGUUUAAUUCGAAGCAACGCGAAGAACCUUACCAAAUCUUGACAUCCUUUGACAACUCUAGAGAUAGAGCCUUCCCCUUCGGGGGACAAAGUGAC